ACGGGAGGCAGCAGUGAGGAAUAUUGGUCAAUGGGCGGAAGCCUGAACUAGCCAAGUCGCGUGAAGGAUGAAGGUAUUAUGUAUUGUAAACUUCUUUAGACGCAGAGAAAUAAGGAGGUCGAGACCUCUGAUGCUAGUAUGCGUAGAAUAAGGAUCGGCUAACUCCGUGCCAGCAGCCGCGGUAAUACGGAGGAUCCGAGCGUUAUCCGGAUUUAUUGGGUUUAAAGGGUGCGCAGGCGGUCUUUUAAGUCAGUGGUUAAAUCGUGAGGCUCAACCUCAUCACGCCAUUGAUACUGGAGGACUUGAUUGCGGUUGAGGUUGGCGGAAUUCGCCGUGUAGCGGUGAAAUGCAUAGAUAUGGCGAAGAACUCCGAUUCCGUAGGCAGCUGACCAGGCCGUAAAUGACGCUCAUGCACGAAAGUGCGGGGAUCGAACAGGAUUAGAUACCCUGGUA
rnacentral:rRNA from 1 species